ensembl:lncRNA novel transcript
CAAAUAAGUUCCCUACAUAUUCUAGGGUUAUUUUGAACCAAAAACUUUGCUUCUCAGGUGGAUCAAUAUGAAAACAAAGCCCAUGAGCUUUUAAAUAAUAAUGUUAAUUGGCACCAAAAAGAACAUAGAUAAAAUAAAAACAUAAUCAGUAUCAUACCUGGGCUACUAAGCUGUAAUUAAACAUUAGAUUUGAACUCAUCUUCUUUCUGCCUCAUCAACCACAUGUAUUAGAAAUGAAAUGCAGAAAAGUGAUGCAAGGAGAACCCCCAUAUGGACAGUUCACCUCCAAAGGGAUAAUUUAUUUAAAAAAAUAAGUUAUAAAAUAUAUCAGAAUGAACUCAAUGCCAGAUCUGGUGGUUUCAACAGUUAGAUUAAUCUCUAACUUUCUCCAAAAUGUUUUAUAAACAUAAAAUAGUAGAGUCAUGACAUCUUGUAUUCAGAUAUGUUCUGGGGUGGGGUGUCAGGGAAAGCAUCCGAAUUCUAGUUUUAUGAGAAGAAUCAUUUUGGAUGCAUGCAGUGAACUUGAACAACGUAAAAUGACUGUGAAGAAUAAUGUCUAUUUUACAGUGAUAUGCAUAGAGAUACUGCAGCUGUUUUAUCAGCUUAGUUUUCUGGGAAACAAAAAGUUUCAAAGAUUUUGACCAAACACUGUCAUUGGUGAAAUUCAUUUUAUUUUAUUAUAUUUUAUUUUAUUUUUUCAGAGACAGGCUGAAGUGGUGCAGUCAUAGCUUACUGUAGUCUUGACCUACUGGGCUCAAGCAAUCCUCCUGCCUCAGCCUCCUGAGUAACUAGGACUACAGGGCAGCCUUGAACAUACCAGGAAGCAAUAGGAAAAAACUGGAGAAAGUGAAAAGGCUGCGAUGAAGGAAAAGAGGAGACAAACAAGGGUGACAUUGGCUGGGCAGCAAAGAUGACCAAAAGGCCAAGAAGCCUGUGCUGUUCCAGUAUUGAUCCGGUGCUCCUCCGUCACCAUCCGACCACAGAACC